rnacentral:rRNA from 1 species
ACGAACGCUGGCGGCGUGCUUAACCCAUGCAAGUCGCACGGAAAGGCCCUGCUUUUGUGGGGUGCUCGGGUGGCGAACGGGUGAGUAACACGUGAGUAACCUGCCCUUGACUUUGGGAUAACUUCAGGAAACUGGGGCUAAUACCGGAUAGGAGCUCCUGCUGCAUGGUGGGGGUUGGAAAGUUUCGGCGGUUGGGGAUGGACUCGCGGCUUAUCAGCUUGUUGGUGGGGUAGUGGCUUACCAAGGCUUUGACGGGUAGCCGGCCUGAGAGGGUGACCGGCCACAUUGGGACUGAGAUACGGCCCAGACUCCUACGGGAGGCAGCAGUGGGGAAUAUUGCACAAUGGGCGGAAGCCUGAUGCAGCAACGCCGCGUGCGGGAUGACGGCCUUCGGGUUGUAAACCGCUUUCGCCUGUGACGAAGCGUGAGUGACGGUAAUGGGUAAAGAAGCACCGGCUAACUACG